ACUCCUACGGGAGGCAGCAGUUGGGAAUCUUAGGCAAUGGACGAAAGCCUGAUGGAGCGACGCCGCGUGAGCGAAGAAGGUCUUCGGGUUGUAAAGCUCUGUCUGGAGGGACGAAGAAAGUGACGGUACCUCCGGAGGAAGCCACGGCUAACCACGUGCCAGCAGCCGCGGUAAU
rnacentral:rRNA from 1 species